UACAGAGGGUGCGAGCGUUGUUCGGAAUUACUGGGCGUAAAGCGCGCGCAGGCGGCCCUUUAAGUCUGACGGUGAAAUGCCGGGGCUCAACCCCGUGCCCGCCGCGGAUACUGGAGGGCUGGAGACACGUAGAGGCAAGCGGAAUUCCGGGUGUAGCGGUGGAAUGCGUAGAGAUCUGCAAGAAUACCCGUGGCGAAGGCGGCCAGCUGGGCCGGUUCUGACGCUGAGGCGCGAAAGCGUGGGGAGCAAACAGG
rnacentral:rRNA from 1 species